CUUCUUUACAGUGCUGCCUUGUUGCAUAUGGAUCAAGCAGCAUUGUACAGGGCU
rnacentral:pre_miRNA from 1 species